rnacentral:sRNA from 1 species
UUUGGUAGCGUUAUUCCCAAGUCUUUCAUUGUCAUUCUAAAUUUUACAUAAGUGGAUUUGGAUUUAAACUCGCUGAGUUAUUUUCAGUUUCGUGAGACACGUUUUCUCAGACGCGAGUUAGGACCAGUGGAGAUUGUAACUGAGAUCUUGGUCUUGUCUGGUUUCCGAUCCGCACGAGAUGUCGUGGGAAACUUCGUGACGUCUUAGGCUAGCUUUUCACCGGAGGGAUUUGAUAGUUAACGGUUGGUUUUUAGUUUAGGUUUUCGUCUUUGAGACUGUUUGUUUUUGAUUUUUAUGUCCAGUUUGCUUUUGGUUGUGUGGCUUGUUGUAGGACGUUUCUGGACUGUUUCAGACGUAAGAAGAGUCUCUCCUAGUUAUAGUUGUUGUUAGAAUCAGCUUGUUAU